rnacentral:lncRNA from 1 species
AGAGAGUCAGAAGUUGAAAGAAGACCUCGAGGCUGUGGAGGACAGGGAAAACAAGAAGGUGGGAAACUUUCAGCGACAAUUGGCAGAAGCUAAAGAAGACAACUGCAAAGUCACAAUCAUGUUGGAGAAUGUGCUGGCUUCUCACAGUAAGAUGCAAGGUGCUCUGGAGAAAGUACAAAUAGAGCUUGGGCGGAGGGAUUCAGAGAUUGCAGGCCUCAAGAAAGAAAGGUUAAAGAAUAAAUGGUCUGAGUUUAAUAGGGCAUAUUGCCUCUAUGUUAUGAGAGAACAAGGAUCUCAAUCAACAGAGGGUGCAGAAGCUGGAAGCUGAAGUGGACCAGUGGCAGGCCAGGAUGCUUGUCAUGGAGGACCAGCACAACAGUGAGAUUGAAUCUCUACAAAAAGCUCUAGGUGUAGCUAGAGAAGACAACAGGAAACUUGCUAUGAGUCUGGAACAAGCUCUCCAGACAAAUAAUCAUCUGCAAACAAAG